UUGGUGCUUGCAUCAUGAUUUACAUUUGAGUGAGUGGCGAACUGGUGAGUAACACGUGGGAAACCUGCCCAGAAGCGGGGGAUAACACCUGGAAACAGAUGCUAAUACCGCAUAACAACUUGGACCGCAUGGUCCGAGCUUGAAAGAUGGCUUCGGCUAUCACUUUUGGAUGGUCCCGCGGCGUAUUAGCUAGAUGGUGGGGUAACGGCUCACCAUGGCAAUGAUACGUAGCCGACCUGAGAGGGUAAUCGGCCACAUUGGGACUGAGACACGGCCCAAACUCCUACGGGAGGCAGCAGUAGGGAAUCUUCCACAAUGGACGAAAGUCUGAUGGAGCAACGCCGCGUGAGUGAAGAAGGGUUUCGGCUCGUAAAACUCUGUUGUUAAAGAAGAACAUAUCUGAGAGUAACUGUUCAGGUAUUGACGGUAUUUAACCAGAAAGCCACGGCUAACUACGUGCCAGCAGCCGCGGUAAUACGUAGGUGGCAAGCGUUGUCCGGAUUUAUUGGGCGUAAAGCGAGCGCAGGCGGUUUUUUAAGUCUGAUGUGAAAGCCUUCGGCUCAACCGAAGAAGUGCAUCGGAAACUGGGAAACUUGAGUGCAGAAGAGGACAGUGGAACUCCAUGUGUAGCGGUGAAAUGCGUAGAUAUAUGGAAGAACACCAGUGGCGAAGGCGGCUGUCUGGUCUGUAACUGACGCUGAGGCUCGAAAGUAUGGGUAGCAAACAGGAUUAGAUACCCUGGUAGUCCAUACCGUAAACGAUGAAUGCUAAGUGUUGGAGGGUUUCCGCCCUUCAGUGCUGCAGCUAACGCAUUAAGCAUUCCGCCUGGGGAGUACGGCCGCAAGGCUGAAACUCAAAGGAAUUGACGGGGGCCCGCACAAGCGGUGGAGCAUGUGGUUUAAUUCGAAGCUACGCGAAGAACCUUACCAGGUCUUGACAUACUAUGCAAAUCUAAGAGAUUAGACGUUCCCUUCGGGGACAUGGAUACAGGUGGUGCAUGGUUGUCGUCAGCUCGUGUCGUGAGAUGUUGGGUUAAGUCCCGCAACGAGCGCAACCCUUAUUAUCAGUUGCCAGCAUUAAGUUGGGCACUCUGGUGAGACUGCCGGUGACAAACCGGAGGAAGGUGGGGAUGACGUCAAAUCAUCAUGCCCCUUAUGACCUGGGCUACACACGUGCUACAAUGGAUGGUACAACGAGUUGCGAACUCGCGAGAGUAAGCUAAUCUCUUAAAGCCAUUCUCAGUUCGGAUUGUAGGCUGCAACUCGCCUACAUGAAGUCGGAAUCGCUAGUAAUCGCGGAUCAGCAUGCCGCGGUGAAUACGUUCCCGGGCCUUGUACACACCGCCCGUCACACCAUGAGAGUUUG
rnacentral:rRNA from 1 species